GCCCUUGUGGCCUAAUGGCUAAGGCAUCAGACUUCUAAUCUGAGGAUUUGGGGUUCGAGUCCCCACUAGGGCU
rnacentral:tRNA from 2 species